rnacentral:rRNA from 1 species
UGCCUUCCUUAGAUGUGGUAGCUAUUUCUCAGGCUCCCUCUCCGGAAUCGAACUCUAAUUCCCCGUUACCCGUCAUAGCCAUGUUAGGCCAAUACCCUAACAUCAAAAGCUGAUAGGUCAGAAACUCGAUUGAUACACACUAAAAAAUGGAAUAAUCCAUUACGUGUUACUUCUUUGUUAUAAUUCCUUAAGU